AUUGAACGCUGGCGGCAGGCCUAACACAUGCAAGUCGAGCGGAUGAAGGGAGCUUGCUCCUGGAUUCAGCGGCGGACGGGUGAGUAAUGCCUAGGAAUCUGCCUGGUAGUGGGGGAUAACGUCCGGAAACGGGCGCUAAUACCGCAUACGUCCUGAGGGAGAAAGUGGGGGAUCUUCGGACCUCACGCUAUCAGAUGAGCCUAGGUCGGAUUAGCUAAUUGGUGGGGUAAAGGCCUACCAAGGCGACGAUCCGUAACUGGUCUGAGAGGAUGAUCAGUCACACUGGAACUGAGACACGGUCCAGACUCCUACGGGAGGCAGCAGUGGGGAAUAUUGGACAAAGGGCGAAAGCCUGAUCCAGCCAUGCCGCGUGUGUGAAGAAGGUCUUCGGAUUGUAAAGCACUUUAAGUUGGGAGGAAGGGCAGUAAGUUAAUACCUUGCUGUUUUGACGUUACCAACAGAAUAAGCACCGGCUAACUUCGUG
rnacentral:rRNA from 1 species